rnacentral:misc_RNA from 1 species
UCUUUGACAUGCUUUGCAUGGCAGGCUCCCCGCAUCUGUGUGCGGCCAACUGUCAUGGGGCUGUCUUUUCAGUGUCCCGUGGUUUAUCUUUUUUGCCCCUUCGGGGUGGCCCAGAUUCGGUUGCCUGUGCGGUUUUACCCUUGUUGGUUGCACAUUUUUGCCGUUGUUGUGUAUUCUGCUUGCUCUGUUGAUGCUAUGCAUCGAUGGGUGGCCGAGUUGCUGGCAAGCUCCAUGCGCUGCGACGCACUUUGUGCGUUGGAACUGCAAUUGGAUGUUUGCUGGGUCUCACGGAUAUCAGUCCCUACGUUGAGCGGCCUACGGGCUUCUAGCCUGCAGGCUCAUGGUGUAGCGCCUGCACGUGUCGUUGUUGCUGAUGUUCCAUCGACAUGCCGUGAUUUCCGCGUCAUGUUGAGGGAUCGCACUCGGUGCACGGCUAUGUGUAUGUGCGUACGCCUUCCCGACCGAAUGACGUGCGAUUGCUGGU